rnacentral:rRNA from 1 species
AAUCCUGGCUCAGGAUGAACGCUGGCGGCGUGCUUAACACAUGCAAGUCGAACGGGAAACAUUUCAUUGAGGCUUCGGCGGAUUUGGUCUGUUUCUAGUGGCGGACGGGUGAGUAACGCGUGGGUAACCUGCCUUAUACUGGGGGAUAACAGCCAGAAAUGGCUGCUAAUACCGCAUAAGCGCACGGGACCGCAUGGUCCUGUGUGAAAAACUCCGGUGGUAUAAGAUGGACCCGCGUUGGAUUAGCUAGUUGG